rnacentral:rRNA from 1 species
GCGCAGCAGGCGCGAAUCCUUCGCAAUGCGGGAAACCGCGACGAGGGGACUCCCAGUGCCUACGCUCAGCGUAGGCUGUUCCCGAGCCUAGAAAGCUCGGGGAGUAGGGGCUGGGUAAGACGGGUGCCAGCCGCCGCGGUAAUACCCGCAGCCCGAGUGGUGGCCACUAUUAUUGGGCCUAAAGCGUCCGUAGCCGGCCCGGUAAAUGCCUGGGUAAAUCGUGAGGCCUAACCUCACGAAUUCCGGGUAGACUGCCGGGCUAGGGACCGGAGGAGGGAGAGGGGUACUCCAGGGGUAGGGGUGAAAUCCUGUAAUCCCUGGAGGACCACCGGUGGCGAAGGCGCUCUCCUAGGACGGGUCCGACGGUGAGGGACGAAAGCCAGGGGAGCGAACCGGAUUAGAUACCCGCGUAGU